rnacentral:rRNA from 1 species
UAUCUCUGUAGAGUCUGCAUAUCAAUAAGCGGAGGAAAAGAAACUAACUAGGAUUCCCUCAGUAACGGCGAGUGAAGCGGGAAGAGCUCAAAUUUGAAAUCUUCAAGGUUUUACCUUGACGAAUUGUAGUUUAAAGAAGUGUUUUCUGUUGGAGUUUUGGUAAAAGUUCUUAGGAAUAGGACAUCAUAGAGGGUGAGAAUCCCGUAUUUGACCAUUACUUUCCAGCUUUGUGAUACACCUUCAAAGAGUCGGAUUGUUUGGGAAUGCAGUCCAAAAUGGGUGGUAAAUUUCAUCCUAAAGCUAAAUAUUGGCGAGAGACCGAUAGCGAACAAGUACCGUGAGGGAAAGAUGAAAAGAACUCUGAAAAGAGAGUUAAGCAGUACGUGAAAUUGUCAAAAGGGAAGCGUUUGACACCAGUGUUGUUUCUACGAAAAUCAAUUUAUGAUGGCUUGAUGCUAAGCUUUAAGACUUUAUCCGCUUGAUUGUUUAGUUUUCUUGUCUUUGUGAAUGCACUUUUCGUGGAACAAGUCAACAUCAAUUUCUUUUGCUGUAAAAGGGUAAGAGGAAGGUGGCUUCGGCUUCGGUUGAAGUGUUUAUAGCCUUUUAUCUCUGCAGUCGGAGAGAUUGAGGUCUGCAGCGUAGACUCUUCGGGGUUAGAUACGUCGGUGCUAAGUUAUAGCCUUUCAUAGACAACUUGUUGACUAUGAUCAGUCAUGUAGCUUACUCGCUUAUGCUAUUUUACCUACGCUUAGGAUGUUGAGUCAUCACACAUCUCU